rnacentral:rRNA from 1 species
GAAACUAACAAGGAUUCCCCUAGUAACGGCGAGUGAAGAGGGAACAGCUCAAAUUUUAAAUCUGACUGCUACGCAGUUCGAGUUGUAGUUUGAAGGAGUCUGUCGCCAGUGCGACGAUGGCACAAGUCCUCUGGAACGUGGCAUCGUAGAGGGUGAGAAUCCCGUCUCUGGUCGUCGUUGCUUGGCAUACGGCAGGCAUCCGAAGAGUCGAGUUGUUUGGGAUUGCAGCUCCAAAUGGGUGGUAAGCUCCAUCUAAGGCUAAAUAUUGGCGAGAGACCGAUAGCGAACAAGUACCGUGAGGGAAAGAUGAAAAGAACUUUGAAAAGAGAGUAAAACAGUACGUGAAAUUGUUGAAAGGGAAACGCUUGAAGUCAGUCGUGCCGGCGGAGAUUCAGCUCGCUUCGCGGAGUGGGCGUAUUUCUUCGCAUGGCAGGUCAGCGUCAGUUUCGCGCGUCGUGAAAGGGCUCGGGUAAGGUGACUCUCUUCGGGGAGUGUUAUAGACCUGAGCAGAUGCGCCGCGCGGGACUGAGGAUUGCAGCGGACACCCUUCGGGGCGCGGCGACCGAUCCCUGCUUCAUCACCCUUGUCCGAUAGCGUGCUAACGGGCCGGGGAGCGGUGGGUGCACCGGGUUGGCAAGCCGGCGGUUUCGCUAAGGACGCUGACGUAAUGGCUUUAAACGAC